rnacentral:rRNA from 1 species
AUUGAACGCUGGCGGCAUGCUUUACACAUGCGAGUCGAACGGUAACAGGGAGCUUGCUCCGCUUUCGAGUGGCGAACGGGUGAGUAAUAUAUCGGUACGUACCCAACUGCUGUGUAUAACGUAGCGACAGUUACGCUAAUACCGCAUACGAUCUUUGGAUGAAAGCAGGGGACCUUCGGGCCUUGUGCCCUUGGAGCGUCCGAUAUCUGAUUAGCUAGUUGGUGAGGUAAAGGCUCACCAAGGCGACGAUCAGUAGCUGGUCUGAGAGGACGACCAGCCACACUGGAACUGAGACACGGUCCAGACUCCUACGGGAGGCAGCAGUGGGGAAUUUUGGACAAUGGGCGCAAGCCUGAUCCAGCAAUGCCGCGUGAGUGAAGAAGGCCUUCGGGUUGUAAAGCUCUUUUGUCAGGGAAGAAACGGCGGUGGCUAAUAUCCACGGCUAAUGACGGUACCUAAAGAAUAAGCACCGGCUAACUACGUG